AUUGAACGCUGGCGGCAGGCUUAACACAUGCAAGUCGAGCGGGGUGAUGGUGCUUGCACUAUCACUUAGCGGCGGACGGGUGAGUAAUGCUUAGGAAUCUGCCUGUUAGUGGGGGACAACAUCUCGAAAGGGAUGCUAAUACCGCAUACGUCCUACGGGAGAAAGCAGGGGAUCACUUGUGACCUUGCGCUAAUAGAUGAGCCUAAGUCGGAUUAGCUAGUUGGUGGGGUAAAGGCCUACCAAGGCGACGAUCUGUAGCGGGUCUGAGAGGAUGAUCCGCCACACUGGGACUGAGACACGGCCCAGACUCCUACGGGAGGCAGCAGUGGGGAAUAUUGGACAAUGGGGGGAACCCUGAUCUAGCCAUGCCGCGUGUGUGAAGAAGGCCUUAUGGUUGUAAAGCACUUUAAGCGAGGAGGAGGCUCUUUUGGUUAAUACCCAAGAUGAGUGGACGUUACUCGCAGAAUAAGCACCGGCUAACUCUGUGCCAGCCGCCGCGGUAA
rnacentral:rRNA from 1 species